UCUACGGGAGGCAGCAGUGGGGAAUAUUGCACAAUGGGCGCAAGCCUGAUGCAGCCAUGCCGCGUGUGUGAAGAAGGCCUUCGGGUUGUAAAGCACUUUCAGCGGGGAGGAAGGCGGCAAGGUUAAUAACCUUGCCGAUUGACGUUACCCGCAGAAGAAGCACCGGCUAACUCCGUGCCAGCAGCCGCGGUAAUA
rnacentral:rRNA from 3 species